rnacentral:rRNA from 1 species
UGGGGAAUUUUGGACAAUGGGGGAAACCCUGAUCCAGCCAUCCCGCGUGUGCGAUGAAGGCCUUCGGGUUGUAAAGCACUUUUGGCAGGAAAGAAACGUCAUGGGUUAAUACCCCGUGAAACUGACGGUACCUGCAGAAUAAGCACCGGCUAACUACGUGCCAGCAGCCGCGGUAAUACGUAGGGUGCAAGCGUUAAUCGGAAUUACUGGGCGUAAAGCGUGCGCAGGCGGUUCGGAAAGAAAGAAGUGAAAUCCCAGAGCUCAACUUUGGAACUGCAUUUUUAACUACCGGGCUAGAGUGUGUCAGAGGGAGGUGGAAUUCCGCGUGGAGCAGUGAAAUGCGUAGAUAGGCGGAGGAACACCGAUGGCGAAGGCAGCCUCCUGGGAUAACACUGACGCUCAUGCACGGAAGCGUGGGGAGCAAACAGG